UACGAAGGGGGCUAGCGUUGCUCGGAAUCACUGGGCGUAAAGCGCACGUAGGCGGCUUUCUAAGUCAGGGGUGAAAUCCUGGAGCUCAACUCCAGAACUGCCUUUGAUACUGGAGAGCUUGAGUCCGGGAGAGGUGAGUGGAACUCCGAGUGUAGAGGUGAAAUUCGUAGAUAUUCGGAGGAACACCAGUGGCGAAGGCGGCUCACUGGCCCGGUACUGACGCUGAUGUGCGAAAGCGUGGGGAGCAAACAGG
rnacentral:rRNA from 1 species